rnacentral:lncRNA from 1 species
ACGAACCAUGCGUGACCAAACUUUCGUCAUGCAAGGUUUUGCGUGACAAAAUUGUACUUUGCGCAACAAACUUAUUUCGUCGCGCAAAGUGUUUUUUUGUAGUAGUGUUUGCAAAAAAGAGGUUGCUCUUGUCUUAGGGUUUUAGCCAAAUAGAACUUUAGAAAAGAAUUGCAUGAUGGUAAAUGUUUAAUUAUUGAGUGUGGGUUUAUUGAUUAAUUUUAGUUUUAUUGUUAGUUUAAUUUUGUACGUGAUGUUAAUUAUACAAUAGAGUAAAAAAGACGAUUCACAUUUGAAAUUUAAGUAGGGUGUAGAAAGAGGUCAUAUGGGUUCAAAUAAAAUUUCCCUAUUUUUAAUUAACUGGAGCUUGCAACCAAUUAUAUUCAACAACAAAUAUUUUUAAAAUGAAAGCAAUUACGAUAUAAGAAAAAUUAUGAGAUAAUAUGACAUGUCUAGGUGCCGCUCCCUCGAGUGUGGAUUUCGAGGGAGUCUAUUAGGAUGGUUAGUUCCGUAGGGUUGUCGAUGAGUUCGACGUGCACUAAGUGGAUGGGUAACUGUUGACCCUAAAAACUACCUAGCCUAAGUGGUGCGCAUGCCG